CCUACGGGUGGCAGCAGUGGGGAAUAUUGCACAAUGGGGGAAACCCUGAUGCAGCGACGCCGCGUGAGUGAAGAAGUAUUUCGGUAUGUAAAGCUCUAUCAGCAGGGAAGAAGAAAGACGGUACCUGACUAAGAAGCCCCGGCUAACUACGUACCAGCAGCCGCGGUAAUACGUAGGGGGCAAGCGUUAUCCGGAUUUACUGGGUGUAAAGGGAGCGUAGACGGCUGUGCAAGUCUGAAGUGAAAGCCCAGGGCUGAACCCUGGAACUGCUUUGGAAACUGUGGAGCUAGAGUACUGGAGAGGUAGGUAGAAUUCCUAGUGUAGCGGUGAAAUGCGUAGAUAUGAGGAGGAACACCGAUGGCGAAGGCAGCUUACUGGACAGUGACUGACGUUGAGGCUCGAAAGCGUGGGGAGCAAACAGGAUUAGAUACCCUGGUAGUC
rnacentral:rRNA from 1 species